rnacentral:rRNA from 1 species
GUAGGUGGCAAGCGUUGUCCGGAAUUAUUGGGCGUAAAGCGCGCGCAGGCGGUCCUUUAAGUCUGAUGUGAAAGCCCACGGCUCAACCGUGGAGGGUCAUUGGAAACUGGGGGACUUGAGUACAGAAGAGGAAAGCGGAAUUCCAAGUGUAGCGGUGAAAUGCGUAGAGAUUUGGAGGAACACCAGUGGCGAAGGCGGCUUUCUGGUCUGUAACUGACGCUGAGGCGCGAAAGCGUGGGGAGCAAACAGGAUUAGAUACCCUGGUAGUCCACGCCGUAAACGAUGAGUGCUAAGUGUUAGGGGGUUUCCCGCCCCCUUAGUGCUGCAGCUAACGUAUUAAGCACUCCGCCUGGGGGAGUACGGCCGCAAGGCUG